AUCCCCUCUGCAGAGGAUCAAAAUUGUGAUGGUAUGCCUUCGGAUCAUCCGUCGCCAGUAGCCCAUUGUGCAGCUCCAGUGCGACGUAAAUGAACAACAACAACGCAUAUUCCGAGAGCUUAACCACCUCAUUCAGUUUACAUUAUUAGUGUAGUUAAAAAGAAGAAGAAAAGCCGUAGAAUGACAAUUGAAACAGGUUUAUUGGAAAUACAUACAUUUGCAGGCUUGUGUGUUCAAUUUAGGCUUAUAAACUUUUAUCAAAUAGAAGGACAGAUAGCACAAAGUUACAUCCGGGGUAACAGCAGGAUUCGAACCUGCUACCUCCGUGCUUUGUACAGCGUUUGGUGGGCGAUACCGCUCGGCCAGGGAGAACCCAUUGAAGCAGGGGAUAGAGCGUUCGUUCUAGGUAACUCAGAUUCGAAACCCAGCGGUGGGUGGUUGAUUCGAAUUUUCCUCUCGGCUCACACAGACCACAGUGCUGAUGAAAAAUAUCCUCUGUAGUAGACCUAUCAUGAGUUAGUCCCUUUAUCGUCGGGCUAAUUGUGUGAGGUUUUCACGAUUGUCCUCCCCAUGUAAUGCAAAUGCGGGUUUGUUCCAUCCAAAUGCCCUCCACGAUAGUUAGUUUGUCCCAAUGCUUGAUCCAGGAGUACCCUUGUCUUUUGCGUUCGAUUCUAAAUUACAAGGCUGUGGAUUUGAGUAUUGAAAGUUGCAAACUCAGAAUUGGGUCGGCUGUUCAACGCUAAUUAUAAAACAUGAAAUGAAAACACGAGCCGAGGUGACUCGGAUAGAGCACUCGCCUCCCAAUUAGAUGACCCAGGAUCGAAUACCAGCAUCGGUUGGUUGAUCCGUCCACGGUGCUGACGUAAAAUAUCCUAUAGCGGAAUCGCCUUGUCGUCGAGCUAACCGUGGGAGGUUUUCGCGGUACUCCUUUCCGUGUCAUACAAAUGCAGGUUAGUUCUAUUAAAAAGUACUCCAGGAAUGCUAGUUUGUUCCAUUACUUGCUCAUGUAGUUUUCUUUUCGGAAGAAAUUAAAAGUUCAAAAUUACAAGCUACGGAGUUGAACAUUGACAGUCGUAAACCCGAAAAUUGGCUGUUCAGUGGUGAAAAAAAUGCGAUAUAGAGAGCAAGAACGCGUUUGACUGAGCAACAUUUGGAAUAUACUUUAAGUAGUGUAACUACAAAUAUUUCACAUGAUAUUGAUGUAAGAGAAUUCACUCACUAAGGAAACUCACUCAACUGAAAUAACAUUCCUCUUUUUUGUAAUUAGUCUUUUACUUCUUGUUGCUUUUCAAUUGGACAAGGUCCUUAUGAGUCUCCUCGACAGUAUUAAAUAAUCCUUACGCCAAACACUCUGAGAGUUUCAGGCAUGCAAGGUUCUGGCAUUUUGUUUUGUUUUCUGUUAUGCAGUGAUAACAGCAAGCUUAUUUGAUGAAAAUAUGUUUUAAUGUCAAGAGCCUGAGGGAUUGAAACUUCUUCCAAAGGUCUUGCAUUGCUCUAAAUCUUAAAAGUAGCUUCCCGUUCAAGACAUGUAAUAAGUAAAUUUGUCAACUAUGUAUUCACUAGUACUAUUUGUACACAAUUUCAAAAGUUUAAGCAUAAGCAAAAAUUUUUUAUAACUAGAGAAAUGUUGACAAAAAGACAUUUUCUUCUGAUGUAAUUAAAAACAGAAAAUAAAUAAUUGUCUGAAAGUAUUUAUUUUAUCAUGACUUUGAUAAAUAAAAUUAAAAAAAAUAAUAAUAGACUCUCUCAAAAGUUUAAAAACUAGAGUAACACCAGACUCGUCAGGCAUUAUUUCUAGGCCACCUUGUUCUACAGAUAUAGAAUCAUUUAAUUGAAAUUGCAUUUUGAUUGACAUAAGCUUACAUAGCCAAUUCCUAGACUGUGACUCAAAACCCAUGGUCCAAUUGACUUGUAUUCCUAACUGAAAGGCCAAUGGAUUUUCCUUAAUUAGUUACUAAAGAUGGACAGUGGAUUUUUUUAAAAAUCUUUACAUAGCAGAUAAAAUAAUACACAUUGGGGGACUGCUUAUAAUCUGCUAUGUACUGUAUUUAUAGGGCUGCUUAUCAUUACUUUCACCAAUUUUAUUUUAAAAAUACUAUUUUUCUUCUAUUACUGCUGACCGCAUAGCCCUUUAGUUCCUGAUUUUAUUUAAAUGAACUAGAGUUGCAAUUAUUUACAUAUAUUUUUUUUUCAGGUUUAAUGUAAUUUUCCAGUCUCUCUUUUUUUCUGCAGUUCAAAGAACUUCCAAAGAAUAUUUUUCCUUAAGCAUUUUUGUUGUUGUUGAGAGAUUUAUAAAAUCUUAAAUUUUUAUAGGUUUAUUAGGUUCCUAUCUAACUUGUUUCCACCUUCUAGAACUUUCUAUUAACCUCCAACUAAGAUUUUUAAAUUUUGAAAUUUAUAUUGAACUCAGUAUGCUUGGGUCACUAGAAGUUAAAUGGGUUUGUUUGGAACAACCUCACAGGUCGGUUCUUCCACAACCUUCUGUUAGCAUAAAUUGUAGUUUGUUUGGUAAAAGCCGUUAGCUUACAAAAGUAUUCAAAAUUGG